rnacentral:rRNA from 1 species
GACGAACGCUGGCGGCGUGCCUAAUACAUGCAAGUCGGGCGGAACUGGGGGAGCUUGCUCCUUCCAGUUUAGCGGCGGACGGGUGAGUAACACGUGGGCAACCUGCCCUGCAGAUCGGGAUAACUCCGGGAAACCGGUGCUAACACCGAAUAGUUUGGCGCCUCUCCUGAGGCGCCACGGAAAGACGGUUUCGGCUGUCACUGCAGGAUGGGCCCGCGGCGCAUUAGCUAGUUGGUGGGGUAACGGCCCACCAAGGCGACGAUGCGUAGCCGACCUGAGAGGGUGACCGGCCACACUGGGACUGAGACACGGCCCAGACUCCUACGGGAGGCAGCAGUAGGGAAUCUUCCGCAAUGGACGCAAGUCUGACGGAGCAACGCCGCGUGAGUGACGAAGGUUUUCGGAUCGUAAAACUCUGUUGUGAGGGAAGAACACGUACCAACUAACUAUUGGUACCUUGACGGUACCUCACCAGAAAGCCACGGCUAACUACGUGCCAGCCGCCGCGGUAA